rnacentral:lncRNA from 1 species
UUUCAUAGUCUUUUUUUAGUGAUAGUGGUCUAUAUCAUGAAAAGAGUGUAGGACAUAUGGUACAAGAAAAUACCAAAAAAUGUUGAAACCAAAUUACGGAUCAUGUUUUGGAUGUUUACAGUCGACAACUCUGAUUUUUCAGAAAAAAAAAAAAAAAAUACCUUCCACAAAAAUCUAAUUUGAGUAUCAUGUGGUAGAUGCAGAGAUAUAUGCAUUUGAUUGUCGAUUCGAUUUGCAGUUCGUUGAUUUUUCCUUUAUUAUGUGGUAGAUGUUCGCUUUUGAUCCGGUUU